AUUUUUCUUAUAUUAGCUAAAAUUUAAAUUUAAUAUGACACAUAUCUUAUUUUAGAUAAACAAAUGGAUGAAUAGUUGCAAAUGGAUGAAUAAAUGGAAUGCAUAACUGAUAUGUUAAAACUAAAUAUUUCAUCUGCACCGGCAAUCCGCUUUUACUAUUCAACACAUAUUUUAAAGCGUUUGAACUGCUUGAUCCUCAUUUGUACUGCUAAAUUUACUUGAUCCGCUUUUGUAUUGUUUGAUAUGGCUUAUCUGUUUCUUCUGAUAUGUUUUAUCCAUUUGGAGCUUCUAUUUUUGAAAUAUUGGUUUUUGAAAACAGUUGUGGAUUUUUUACUUGAUAUAUGCAUAUAUUCUUAUUGAUAUAUAACUUUUUUUUCUUUUCUCUAUUACAAUGAAGUUAAUAUUAUAAAAAUCAGCCUAACAAAUGAUGAGAGAUACAGUUUUUUUUUUAGUUUUUUUUGUGCAUGAUUAGAUAGAUAGUUAAACUGUAUUUGUAAGAUGUGUAGUUGAUAACAAUAUUAGUAUAUUUUGAUGUGUGUUUUAUUUUAUAAAUUCCAGCUUAUUAAAUAUAGUUUUUCAUGAGAUAAAAUUAUCACUUAUGAGAUUAUGACGUUGAGAAAAAACAAUAUUUACUUUUAUCGCGAUUCACUAAAGAAAAUCAUAACGUACGACCACGAUUAAAAGUCAAGUGUGGACGCGUGCACAGCUGAUAAACGGACGCGGAUAGAAGAAAAAGUGAAGUGGCAAGUUUCCCAAAUUUUCCCAGUCCCGAAGAAUCUUCGGAAAUAUUUGGAUUUCCACCAUAAAGAUGGAUGUCAUUAUUAUGAGUGAUGACAUAAGUAUGAUAAUGUCAUACACCUUUGGGAUGAUGUAACUAAGAUGAUGACAUGCAUUUUUAUGUGCCAUCAUUAUGAUUAUGUACCCACAUCACACAUCUCUCACUUCACACAUCAAAACUUCUUUUAGUUAUUCCACAUCCAAAACAUGACUACAAAUAAACAAUCGAUGGAUUUGGCGUGAGGAAAAGAAGACCGAUGAAGACAAGAAGACCGGAGACAAAAAAGUGAUCUCUCUCUAGGAUUCGUCGGAGGAAUUGUCUCAAGAAGCCUUGAACUAUUCAGAGAGUUGUCUUAAAAGUAGGUCUGCGAGGAAGAUGAAGAAAUUCAGGUAUGAGGCUGAAGCAAACACCAGAAUAGGCGCCAAUAAGAAGAAAUAACGAAGAAGUGUGAAUCCUAUAGUGCAAAAUAAGUGCAUCGCACAAAAUUAUGAAAUUUUCAAAUAUUUGUGUGUUUUGUAUUAAUCUUUCCUUCAUUCUUCAUGUUGUCGUAAUCAAAAAAUUAUUAGUAUGUCAUAUGUUAUGGUGCCACCUAGCUAAAAAAAAUAUUAACUUAAGAAAUUGGCCGUUGAUCUGUCUGCUUGUUUCUCGUUAUAGCGGCUAACUCGGAUAAUAAAAAAACAA
rnacentral:sRNA from 1 species